GCCUGGCUGGCUUAGUCGUAGAGCAUGUGACUCCAUCUCAGGAUUGUGAGUUCAAGCCCCACGUUGGGUA
rnacentral:tRNA from 1 species